rnacentral:rRNA from 1 species
UACGUAGGGCGCAAGCGUUGUCCGGAAUUAUUGGGCGUAAAGAGCUCGUAGGCGGUUUGUCGCGUCUGCUGUGAAAGCCCGGGGCUCAACCCCGGGUCUGCAGUGGGUACGGGCAGACUAGAGUGCAGUAGGGGAGACUGGAAUUCCUGGUGUAGCGGUGAAAUGCGCAGAUAUCAGGAGGAACACCGAUGGCGAAGGCAGGUCUCUGGGCUGUAACUGACACUGAGGAGCGAAAGCAUGGGGAGCGAACAGG